rnacentral:rRNA from 1 species
ACUCCUGCGGGAGGCAGCAGUGGGGAAUAUUGGACAAUGGGCGCAAGCCUGAUCCAGCCAUGCCGCGUGAGUGAUGAAGGCCCUAGGGUUGUAAAGCUCUUUCACCGGUGAAGAUAAUGACGGUAACCGGAGAAGAAGCCCCGGCUAACUUCGUGCCAGCAGCCGCGGUAAUACGAAGGGGGCUAGCGUUGUUCGGAUUUACUGGGCGUAAAGCGCACGUAGGCGGACUAUUAAGUCAGGGGUGAAAUCCCGGGGCUCAACCCCGGAACUGCCUUUGAUACUGGUAGUCUUGAGUUCGAGGGAGGUGAGUGGAAUUCCGAGUGUAGAGGUGAAAUUCGUAGAUAGUCGGAGGAACACCAGUGGCGAAGGCGGCUCACUGGCUCGAUACUGACGCGGAGGUGCGAAAGCGUGGGGAGCAAACAGGAUUAGAAACCCUAGUAGUCCCA